CCGAUCUUCACAUUCAACUCCAUGUUUUGGAGAUCUGAAAUGGAAGAGAAGGAAGAAGAGGAACCGAUGUGGAGUAUUUCUCAUGGAUAUAGGAAUUUGUUUAAUUCUUCUAAUCUGAUCUACGAGUACUCUACACAGAAUAAUUCCUUCGAUGUUGGUGUCGGAUUUGACGGCUAGGGUUUUCGAUGAACUUGAUACUACAAUGGCGGCUAGGGUUUUUGAUGAAUCUUCUACUAUAGCUGGUGGUUAAGAAUGGCAUCUGGCAACAAGUAAAGCUGCACGAAUUUUGUAGAUCAAAGAACAUUCAUCUAUCUGUACGUUGGGAACAAGUCACCGAUCCACUUCACCAGGAAGUUUUCUCAAGCACCGGUAUGAUUGAAGGAUGAAAGCUGAUUCGGAAAGAGAAGAUCAUCAUGACGUACUUGUUGGGAAUUUGAGCCUUGAGGUUACAGAUGCUACAUUGUUCGCAUGCUUCUCUCCUUAUCAAACCUGCUC